rnacentral:rRNA from 1 species
UACAGAGGUCUCAAGCGUUGUUCGGAUUCAUUGGGCGUAAAGGGCGCGCAGGCGGUCUUGAAAGUCAGAUGUGAAAGCCCCGGGCUUAACCUGGGAAUUGCAUUUGAUACUCUGGAGCUUGAGUACGGGAGAGGAGAGUGGAAUUCCCAGUGUAGAGGUGAAAUUCGUAGAUAUUGGGAAGAACACCGGUGGCGAAGGCGGCUCUCUGGACCGUAACUGACGCUGAGGAGCGAAAGCGUGGGGAGCAAACAGG